rnacentral:tRNA from 1 species
GUUGCCGGGCGGGCGGUCCGGGGGGUCCUGCGGCCGCGGGUCGCGGGGGACCGGUUCGGGGCCGGACGGGACCGGUUCGGGGCCCUCCGGCGGUG